rnacentral:rRNA from 1 species
UACAGAGGGUGCGAGCGUUGUCCGGAAUCACUGGGCGUAAAGGGCGCGUAGGCGGGCUGUCAAGUCUGGGGUGAAAUGCCGCGGCUCAACCGUGGAACUGCCUCAGAUACUGACGGCCUCGAGGAAGGUAGGGGCAUGCGGAACUGUAGGUGGAGCGGUGAAAUGCGUUGAUAUCUACAGGAACUCCGGUGGCGAAAGCGGCGUGCUGGACCUUUUCUGACGCUGAGGCGCGAAAGCUAGGGGAGCAAACGGG